UACGUAGGGCGCAAGCGUUGUCCGGAAUUAUUGGGCGUAAAGAGCUCGUAGGUGGCUUGUCACGUCGGGUGUGAAAGCUUGGGGCUUAACUCCAGGUCUGCAUUCGAUACGGGCUAGGCUAGAAUGGUAGGGUAGGGAGACGGAAUUCCUGGUGUAGCGGUGAAAUGCGCAGAUAUCAGGAGGAACACCGGUGGCGAAGGCGGUCUCUGGGCCGUAACUGACGCUGAGGAGCGAAAGCGUGGGGAGCGAAACAGGAUUAGAACCUACCGUA
rnacentral:rRNA from 1 species